AACGCAAAUUGCGCCCUUUGGUAUUCCGAAGGGCAUGCCUGUUUGAGUGUCUUAUAAACCUCACCCCUAAUGUUUUGUCACAAUAGGUUGGUGCUUUGGGUGUUGCCAUUUACCUGGCUCGCCUUAAAUGACUAAGUGGAAUGCGUAAUAAGUUCUCGCAACCCUCCACUCUAAUACAAUUUAUAUUCUGACCUCAAAUCAGGUAGGACUACCCGCUGAACUUAA
rnacentral:misc_RNA from 1 species